CCCCCCCACACAAAUGCAGGAUCGAUUCCCGUUGUUGCCAUUUUUUCUCAUAUAUUUUAUUGGGCCGUAGCCCAUAUAUUUUGUUGUCACCGUUUCUUUUGUCAGAUUCUUCUAAUAUUACAUUCAACUUUCCAAAACUAUAAAUAUACCAAUUUUUCUAUAUCUUAUUUGACCCAGAUAAAAAAAUUCCUUAGUCCGCGUCCUAGUAAUUUCCUACCAAAUUCCUUCAAUAUAGUUUUCAUAGGGAAUUAAAAGGAUAUUUUCCGACCCAAUUCUUAUCAUUUCUUUUCCCAUAAAUUUCUUUCUAAUCUCCUACAAAUUUUCCUUCAACUAUAUAUUUUGUAGAAAUUUCGUAUAACUUUCUCACGAUAAGUUUCGUAUGAAAAUUUUCUACUAAUUUCCUACAAAAA
rnacentral:sRNA from 1 species